rnacentral:lncRNA from 1 species
AGAGUAUUUGAGAGCGUACACCCGGCGACAAUAGUUUACGAACCACGAGAUCUCAGAAAACGUUCGAUUCCCGAUCAGCCUGUAGCAGUAGCCAGUAAAACU